UGAAGUGUUUUAAAAAAUGGUGUCGGU
rnacentral:sRNA from 1 species